GGAGCUUGCUCCGCUGACGAGUGGCGAACGGGUGAGUAAUGUAUCGGAACGUACCAUUCAGUGGGGGAUAACGUAGCGAAAGUUACGCUAAUACCGCAUAUUCUGUGCGCAGGAAAGCAGGGGAUCGCAAGACCUUGCGCUGAUUGAGCGGCCGAUAUCAGAUUAGCUAGUUGGUGAGGUAAAAGCUCACCAAGGCGACGAUCUGUAGCGGGUCUGAGAGGAUGAUCCGCCACACUGGAACUGAGACACGGUCCAGACUCCUACGGGAGGCAGCAGUGGGGAAUUUUGAACAAUGGGGGCAACCCUGAUCCAGCCAUGCCGCGUGAGUGAAGAAGGCCUUCGGGUUGUAAAGCUCUUUCAGCCGGGAAGAAAAUGCAUGGGUUAAUACCCUGUGCAGAUGACGGUACCGGAAUAAGAAGCACCGGCUAACUACGUGUCAGCAGCCGCGGUAAUACGUAGGGUGCGAGCGUUAAUCGGAAUUACUGGGCGUAAAGCGUGCGCAGGCGGUUUUGUAAGACAGGCGUGAAAUCCCCGGGCUUAACCUGGGAACUGCGUUUGUGACUGCAAGGCUAGAGUACGGCAGAGGGGGGUGGAAUUCCACGUGUAGCAGUGAAAUGCGUAGAGAUGUGGAGGAACACCAAUGGCGAAGGCAGCCCCCUGGGUCGAUACUGACGCUCAUGCACGAAAGCGUGGGUAGCAAACAGGAUUAGAUACCCUGGUAGUCCACGCCCUAAACGAUGUCAACUAGGUGUUGGGAGGGUAAAACCUUUUAGUACCGUAGCUAACGCGAGAAGUUGACCGCCUGGGGAGUACGGCCGCAAGGUUAAAACUCAAAGGAAUUGACGGGGACCCGCACAAGCGGUGGAUGAUGUGGAUUAAUUCGAUGCAACGCGAAAAACCUUACCUACCCUUGACAUGUCAGGAACUUUCCAGAGAUGGAUUGGUGCCCGAAAGGGAACCUGAACACAGGUGCUGCAUGGCUGUCGUCAGCUCGUGUCGUGAGAUGUUGGGUUAAGUCCCGCAACGAGCGCAACCCUUGUCGUUAAUUGCCAUCAUUCAGUUGGGCACUUUAACGAGACUGCCGGUGACAAACCGGAGGAAGGUGGGGAUGACGUCAAGUCCUUAUGGUCCUUAUGGGUAGGGCUUCACACGUCAUACAGUGGUCGGUACAAAGGGUCGCCAACCCGCGAGGGGGAGCCAAUCCCAUAAAGCCGAUCGUAGUCCGGAUUGUAGGCUGC
rnacentral:rRNA from 1 species